CCCUUAGAUGUUCUGGGCCGCACGCGCGCUACACUGUUCGACGCAGCGAGUCCUAACCUUGACCGAAAGGUUUGGGUAAUCUUCAGCAAAGUCGAACGUGAUGGGGAUCGAUCAUUGCAAUUAUUGAUCGUGAACGAGGAAUUCCUAGUAAGUGCAAGUCAUCAGCUUGCGCUGAUUACGUCCCUGCCCUUUGUACACACCGCCCGUCGCUACUACCGAUUGAAUGGUUUAGUGAGAUCUCUGGAUUGACGCUGGCUAGGGGGCGACCCUUGGCCAGACUGCUCGAGAAACUGCUCAAACUUGAUCAUUUAGAGGAAGUAAAAGUCGUAACA
rnacentral:rRNA from 1 species